GCCGCCGGCGCGGGUGCAGCGCCCGUCAGCGGCCGCGGUAUUGGUCGCACUUCUUUCAGACGGCGGCGACGGCGCGCACCGGCCUGAGGCGGAGCUGCGAGCGGGAGGGCUGGCCGCGCACCCAUCGUGAGGGCCAGGACCGCGGGUCCGAGGCCCGUCAGCUCCCGCAGCUGCUCCGCAGCGAGCGUCCCAGGGUCUCUUGCCCCGGGGCCGGAGGCCGGCCGUCGGGACCUCUGGCUAAGACGGAGCGGGCUGGAGAAACCUUGUCGCUGAGUUGUUGGGCGAUACGGUUGUCCUGUAGGAAUUUUAUACGCCAAAGCGAAAUUGCUAAUUUUGAUUUUGUCUUUAAAUGUCAUCAAGGAGUUCAGUUCAGUUCAGUCGCUCAGUCGUGUCCGACUCUCUGCGACUCCAUAAAUCGCAGCACGCCAGGCCUCCCUGUCCAUCACCAUCUCCAGGAGUUCACUCAGACUCACGUUCAUCGAGUCCGUGAUGCCAUCCAGCCAUCUCACCCUCGGUGGUCCCCUUCUCCUCCUGCCCCCAAUCCCUCCCAGCAUCAGAGUCUUUUCCAAUGAGUCAACUCUUCGCAUGAGGUGGCCAAAGUACUGGAGCUUCAGCUUCAGCAUCAGUCCUUCCAAAGAAAUCCCAGGGCUGAUCUUCAGAAUGGACUGGUUAGUCUCAAGCUUUUGACUUCCAAACUCAACCAAUGAUUGUUUCUAAAGUUUUGAUACUUUCAGUUAUGAAAAAGUUCACACAAGACACACACGCGCAUGCACACCAGUAGAGCAGAGAGGAACAGUACCUAAACAUCGGUCACUGAUUCGGCGGUUUAAGAGAGAACCGGGGAAGGACUUUGCCGCUCUCGAAGUCCAGUAAAAGACGCACUCCUCACACCUGGCCGGCUGCAGACUGAGGUCUGAGUGCGCCACCUGCCUCACAGUGCUUGGCGCCUCUGACUGGUGUCUUCUGUCCUGUGGACGUACUACAGUUCAUCCAUUCAUAACGUUAACGGACACUGGGUGACUUCCAGUUUGGGGCUGGAAUAAAGCAGCUAUGAAUGCUUGGGCGCAAGUCUGCAUUUUCAUUUCUCAACAAGACAAGUUUUUGGUAAACGUCUUGCUUCAUCCUGAAUGUCCUUCCCUGGAAUUGGGCUCUGUUUACACAGGAGAAACGUGUGCAGACAAGAGGCAAGACAAUCACCCAGUCAAUUUGGAUUUCUGAUUUGGCAGUUAAGUCUCAGCUGAGAUAUGCUUCCGACUACUGAACAAGGUAUCAGAAGGCACAGACCCAGUUUCGACGCCAGUCCCUCAGCCCCACAGUUGCCCUCCUCAGGUGACACCACCCUUACCGAUUUCUUUUGUAACCUUCUAGAAAUGUCUUCUGCACAUAAAGCAUAUAUAGGCAGCUCCUUCUCUCACAUAUGGUACAUUCGUUUUUUAGAAAAUACUUAUUCGGCCGGCCCAGAUCUCCGCUGUGGCUCCCAUAUCUCUGAUAUUCGUUGUAGCACGUGGGAUCUUUAGGCGCGGCGCGGGAUCUCCUGGUUGCGGCACAUGGGAUCUAGUUCCCUGACCAGACAGUGAACCCGGCUCUCUGUACUGGGAGUGCGGAGUCUCGGCCACUGGGCCCGCAGGGAAGCCCCUACACACAGUGCGCUCCAUACAGUGCAGUGUCCUUGCUCGCUGCAGUCUCCUUUAGAAGCUGAUCCCAUGCUGGCACCUGUCGGGCCGUCUCUGGCUACUAAAAGGCCGAGCUUGCGUCGGAUGUCCUGAUUCGCUGCAACGCUGCCUCCGCAUCGUUCCCCGAAUGAUGCGCAGCAGAAGCGCAGCAUCAACGCCGCCGUGGCAGCCGGGCUGGACAGCAGUGGGGGGACCCAGCCCCGGCCGGCCUCGUGGGGGGUGAGGGGUCGAGCAUGCCGUGUCCUCCUAGCCAAACUCUCUGCUGUUUACUUUCGGCUCCUGUGACACUGACUGACCAGAGGCAGAAGAUGGGGCUUCUUGCUGGAUGUGAAAACGCGUGCUCUCCAGGCAGGAGUCCCCGGCCUGUCGCCUCUGAUUCGGUAGGCCUGGACCGAGGUCAGAUAACAUGCAUCUCUGACAGGUUCCAGGUGGUGCUGAAGAAGGGCACGCAGAGAUAGCAGAGGGCGGCUGCGGAGCUGGGGGGACCGUCUGAGGGAAUCUGCCAUCCCUGCAGCCGUCAACCCACAUGGAGUUUGGAGAGGAGCUGCGCCUUCAGAGCCUGGGAGGGCACAGGAGCGGGCAUCAGGAGCUGCGCUGCCCGGGACGCAGCGACCCAGGCCUGUGUCGCAGGCUCAGCUCUCGGCCGUUCUUCAGGCG
ensembl:lncRNA